UUCGUACCACAACUUCUCCUGUUCAUUCUUAGGGACCUUAACUGCUUCUUAUCUCUCACUUCUCCUCUUCAUCCUUAGUAACUGCUCUAUGUCUCUCAAAGCUUGGUUCCUAUUUUUUUCUUCAGUCCUAACAAAAAUGAUAAUUUUGUUCUUCUGGAAUUAUGAAAUUUCGUUUAAAUCUCUUCACAUAUGAAACUUUGUUCGGACCUCAUCACAAUUGAUUAAUUAGAAAUGUGAAUUUCUGUUCUUCUGGAAUUGACCAACUGCUUAUUAAUUUUGAAGAGCAAUCGAUAAUUUCUCAUUUAUGUUGCUCACGAUUAUCUCUCCUUCCACUACUCAAGGAUGAAUCGUACUUUGAUAUCCAGUUUCAUCAACUCCAAUUCAAGAUUAUUUCAGCAAUACUUUCUGCAUCAAUCAAAGAUAACCUUCAAAAGAAAACAAUAAAUCUCCGAUGAAGAUAUUGAGAAUGCUGAGUCAGUGACAUCGAUGCAUGAUGGCUAGAGUAACUUCCGUCAAGAAGGUUGGAGCUAUCAGAAUUUGCUUCAUAAUGAUCAAUUGGUACAAAGACCUCCAGGAAUAAAUAUGACAUAUCUGAGAUUCAUACAACAAUGAGUAAUAUCUUCCAAACUUCUAUGCAUUGAAGAGUUUCUUAUUCUGAGUAUGCCAGUAUUUCAGGUAUGUCUCAUACCACGGGUCUUCUUCUGCCUUUUGGAGUGUAUCUACUAUCUUUCAAUUUUAUGUUCUCUCUGUGUGUUUGUUCCAUAAGAAGGCCUUGAAUCCAGACUAACAGACAUUGUGCUUAUAUACUCUCAUCACUCAUUGUGUAUGAGCAAGGAGAGCUCUAACAUUUAGUUGAGUUUGUUUAUAAUUUAUCUGUAGUAAAGGCUGCUGAGCUGAAGUAGUCAAACUUCUAUCUGGAAGCCACUGGACAUCGUGUUGCACUAUUACCAUGAGGACCUCUGGAGGAUCUGCAAUGGAUCUACUGAAGCAUCUAUAGUUUUGAGUUACUUAUCAAGUACAGGAAAAGCACAAAACCUUUUGAUCGGUAAAACAAACUUUAUUGAGUAGGUGCUAGAGGAACUGUAAGGGUUGCUCCUUAUUAAAGAGAGUUGUAGAAUACACAAGGAGGAGAAUUUUAUCAAGUGGCGGGUGGUGGAAAGAGAGAAAAGAUGAGCAAAUGUUGAUCAGGUCAAAGGAGCUAUCACCCUCAAAUGUAGAUGCUUCAGUAGAAGCCAAUGAACAUCAUGCUUAACCUGCACUUUGAGUUUAUUUGAUGUCUCGAGUAGUUAUAUGUAUGGACAGUGUAUUCCAACUUUUUGUUGAUAACAUUAACAACUCAAAAAAAUUACCAUGCAUUUUUCUUUUUC